rnacentral:rRNA from 1 species
CAUGCAUGUCUAAGUAUAAACUGCUUAUACUGAUGAAACUGCGAAUGGCUCAUUAAAUCAGUUAUAGUUUAUUUGAUGGUACACUACUACUCGUGAUAACCGUAGUAAUUCUAGGGCUAAUACGUGCGUAAAUCCCGACUUCUGGAAGGGACGUAUUUAUUAGAUAAAAGGCCGACCGACUCUGUCCGACCCGCGUGAACCAUGAUUAACUUCACGAAUCGCAUGGCCUUGCGCCGGCGAUGUUUCAUUCAAAUUUCUGCCCUAUCAACUCUUCGAUGGUAGGAUAGAGGCCUACCAUGGUGGUAACGGGUGACGGAGGAUUACGGGUUCGAUUCCGGAGAGGGAGCCUGAGAAACGGCUACCACAUCCAAGGAAGGCAGCAGGCGCGCAAAUUACCAAUCCUGACACGGGGAGGUAGUGACAAUAAAUAACAAUACCGGGCAUUUAAUGUCUUGGUAAUUUGAAUGAGUACAAUCUAAAUCCCUUAACGAGGAUCCAUUGGGAGGCAAGUCUGGUGCCAGCAGCCGCGGUAAUUCCAGCUCCAAUAGCGUAUAUUUAAGUUGUUGCAGUUAAAAAGCUCGUAGUUGGAUUUCGGAUGGGUUGCAGCGGUCCGCCUCUGGUGAGUACUUUUUUUGCUGUGGCCUUAUCUUUCUGCCGGGGACGGGCUUCCUGGGCUUCACUGUCCGGGACUCGGAGUCGGCGAUGUUACUUUGAGUAAAUUAGAGUGUUCAAAGCAGGCCUACGCUCUGAAUACUUUAGCAGGAAAAAUAACACGAUAGGACUCUGGCCUAUCUUGUUGGUCUGUAGGACCGGAGUAAUGAUUAAGAGGGACAGUCGGGGCAUUCGUAUUUCAUUGUCAGAGGUGAAAUUCUUGGAUUUAUGAAAAGGACGAACCACUGCGAAAGCAUUUGCCAAGGAUGUUUUCAUUAAUCAAGAACGAAAGUUGGGGGCUCGAAGACGAUUAGACUACCGUCGUAGUCUCAACCAUAAACGAUGCCGAUAAGGGAUUGGCGGAUGUUUAUUCAAUGACUCCGCCAGCACCUUAUGAGAAAUCAAAGUUUUUGGGUUCCGGGGGAGUAUGUCGCAAGGCUGAA